rnacentral:misc_RNA from 1 species
GUAGCUUAACCUUCGGGAGGGCGCUUGCCACGGUGUGGCCGAUGACUGGGGUGAUCGGCACAGGCCGGUAUGCGAAAGUCCCAUCAUGGCGCCUUAGCUCAGCUGGGAGAGCACCUGCUUUGCAAGCAGCCGGUCGUCGGUUCGAUCCCGACAGGCUCCACCAUUUGAGUGAAACGACUUUGGGUCUGUGAGCUCAUGGUUAGAGCGCACCCCUGAUAAAGGGUGAGGUGAACGGUGGUUCGAGUCCUCCCAGACCCACCACUCUGAAUGUAGUGCACACUUAAGAACUUAUAUGGAUCAGCCGUUGAGGCAGAGACAUGUUCUUUUAUAACUUGUGACGUAGCGAGCGUUUGAGAUAUCUAUCUAAACGUGUCGUUAGAGGCUAAGGCGGGGACUUUCAAGAUUCCGUAAAUAAUUGAGUCGUAUGUUCGCGUUGGUGGCUUGGUACCCCACAACACGGACUGUAUGACCCUGUAGGCAACUUGGGGUUAUA